GACGUGGGGGGCCAGCGUUGUCCGGAUUUACUGGGUGUAAAGGGUUCGUAGGCGGUGUAGCAAGUCGGGAGUGAAAUCUCUGGGCUCAACCCAGAGGCUGCUUCCGAAACUGCUGUGCUUGAGUGUGAGAGAGGCGCGUGGAAUUGCAGGUGUAGCGGUGAAAUGCGUAGAUAUCUGCAGGAGCACCCGUGGCGAAAGCGGCGCGCUGGAUCACUACUGACGCUGAGGAACGAAAGCUAGGGGAGCAAACAGG
rnacentral:rRNA from 1 species